rnacentral:rRNA from 1 species
AUACGGAGGGUGCAAGCGUUCUUCGGAAUCACUGGGCGUAAAGGACGCGUAGGCGGGUUGGCAAGUCAGAUGUGAAAUCCUACAGCUUAACUGUAGAACUGCAUUUGAAACUGCUUACCUAGAGUAUGGGAGGGGGAGAUGGAAUUAGUGGUGUAGGGGUAAAAUCCGUAGAUAUCACUAGGAAUACCGAAAGCGAAGGCGAUCUCCUGGAACAUAACUGACGCUAAGGCGUGAAAGCGUGGGGAGCACACAGGAUUAGAUACCCUAGUAGUCC